AGCCGCAUUGAUUGGAUCGGGAAACUCAUCAAUUUUUAUGAAAUACCGAGACAAGCUUCAGUUCUUAAUGGCGGGGCACGCCUUUCGGGGUAACUCUUGAGUCGGUGGAUUACAAAGAGGACGAGCACUCCCAUCAUGUCGUACCGAGUUUCAUCACCUCAUCGGUGCGGAGUUUCUA
rnacentral:sRNA from 10 species